AUACUUACCAAGCAGGGGAAAUAUUAAUAUCGCUAUGGUGGUUCAACCAGACUGAGGAUCAGCCAUUGCACCGUGGCUGUGCUGAACCCUGCACAUUCCACAAAUAUGGGAAUCUCGACUGCAUAAUUUCUGCUAGUGGGGAUUACAUUUGCACUUUCCUC
rnacentral:snRNA from 1 species